rnacentral:rRNA from 1 species
CAGCAGUCGCCACGGUAAUACGUAGGUCCCGAGCGUUGUCCGGAUUUAUUGGGCGUAAAGGGAGCGCAGGCGGUUUAGUAAGUCUGAAGUUAAAGGCAUUGGCUCAACCAAUGUAUGCUUUGGAAACUGUUAGACUUGAGUGCAGAAGGGGAGAGUGGAAUUCCAUGUGUAGCGGUGAAAUGCGUAGAUAUAUGGGGGAAUACCGGUGGCGAAAGCGGCUCUCUGGUCUGUCACUGACGCUGAGGCUCGAAAGCGUGGGUAGCGAACAGGAUUAGAUACCCCUGUAGUCCCUGUCUCUUAUACA